rnacentral:precursor_RNA from 13 species
CAUCAGGAGGAAGCCGGGCUCCGGGGCGCCCCUCGAGCGAGAAGCACUUUCUGUGUAAAUGGAGGGAAGUGCGUCCUCUCUCGAGCGUCGCCCUAAGAGACAGUCGCCGGCACCGGGG